rnacentral:rRNA from 1 species
UACGUAGGGUGCAAGCGGUGUCCGGAAUUAUUGGGCGUAAAGAGCUCGUAGGCGGUUUGUUGCGUCGGCUGUGAAAACCUGAGGCUCAACCUCAGGCCUGCAGUCGAUACGAGCAGACUAGAGUGUUGCAGGGGAGACUGGAAUUCCUGGUGUAGCGGUGAAAUGCGCAGAUAUCAGGAGGAACACCGGUGGCGAAGGCGGGUCUCUGGGCAACAACUGACGCUGAGGAGCGAAAGCGUGGGGAGCGAACAGG